GAAAUAAGAAAUUCAAAAUUAAGCUUCUAACUUAAAUUUUUAGUGGUAUAAACCCAUUAUUAUUUCU
rnacentral:tRNA from 1 species